AAAGAGAUGUGGCUGUCCAAAUCCUUUCAAUUUUCAUUAUAGUUCAACAGUUGGGAAAUAUUCAUCUCCAAAUGUGUAUGGUGAAGUAGAGUCGAAAUGUUGUGCACUGGUCCAGGCAAAUACAAAAUUAGCAACAGCUAAAGAGAAUCUAGAAACAAUCUUGAAAAAGCUUAUUAUUGAACAGAAGACUGUGUUUACAAGCAAGCACCCAUGGAGCACUUCUGAGGGAUUAUUUGUGGAUGGUUGUUAAUUAUUCUUCUAAUGGAGUAUCUGCAACACAAAGCGCUCUUGAAACAAACAAAGACACCUUUGGUACCUUGGGAGAUGGUGGGUGGAAGGAGUUCCUCUGCUGCAAGCUAAUUACCCUGACUUAUCAAACAAGACUUUAAACGAUUCAAAAGAUGUGGCAUUAACUGAGUUUAGAAGACUUGGGUUGACUCUUUUUUCUUGUGAGUAUUUAGAUCUGGAAUCUCACAACUUAAGUUAUCAAGCAAUAAAUGAAGGCUAGUCAAUUCCAUAAUGUGGGGAUUGUUCUCCCUGUUUUCUUUUAAGGUAUCAAUUUAAGAGAAUGAAAAAGAUUUGCUUUUAUUGAAACUCUUAGAAACCUGUGGAUUAUGGUAUCUGAAAGUUUCAUUCUUUCUUUCAGCAAUUCCCAGUUAGUCCUCCUGCUCUCAUAGUAGCCAGCUUUUCCUAUUCUGGAGUUGCAGAUUUAAUGGUUACACAAAGAUAACAUUCAUCUCUCUUCUUCUACUGGCCCUCUCUGCCCCUCACUCCCCAAAUCCCACCAGAUGGUACAACACAUAUCUUUGCUUACUUGUGAUAUAGCCCUCAUGCAACCUAUUCAGAUUAAAGCAGAUCUACCCUAAUGAAUGUGGUAUCUACAUUAAAAAAUAUCUGGAUUGAAAAGUCAUUUUUAUUACUGCACAUACCUAUGCCAAUGGAUGUCUAUUAAAUUCAAAUACUUUUUGGACAAAAUUGCCUUUAUUUUUUAUUAUUAAUUUUAAUACACAGC